GGGCCCGCACAAGCGGUGGAGUAUGUGGUUUAAUUCGAUGCAACGCGAAGAACCUUACCAGGACUUAAAUGUAAGUUGCAUGAUUCAGAAAUGAAUCUUUCUUCGGACUACUUACAAGGUGCUGCAUGGUUGUCGUCAGCUCGUGCCGUGAGGUGUCAGGUUAAGUCCUAUAACGAGCGCAACCCCUAUCGUUAGUUGCCAUCAAGUAAAGUUGGGAACUCUAGCGAAACUGCCGGUGCAAACCGAGAGGAAGGUGGGGAUGACGUCAAAUCAUCACGGCCCUUACGUUCUGGGCUACACACGUGCUACAAUGGUCGGUACAGAAAGCAGCCACUAUGCGAAUAGGAGCUAAUCUUUAAAACCGAUCUCAGUUCGGAUCGCAGUCUGCAACUCGACUGCGUGAAGCUGGAAUCGCUAGUAAUCGGAUAUC
rnacentral:rRNA from 1 species